rnacentral:rRNA from 1 species
AUACGGAGGAUCCGAGCGUUAUCCGGAUUUAUUGGGUUUAAAGGGUGCGCAGGCGGCCAUUUAAGUCAGCGGUUAAAUCGUGGGGCUCAACCCCAUUCUGCCGUUGAUACUGGGUGACUUGAUUGCGGUCGAGGUUGGCGGAAUUCGUUGUGUAGCGGUGAAAUGCAUAGAUAUGACGAAGAACACCGAUUGCGUAGGCAGCUGACCAGACCGCAAAUGACGCUCAUGCACGAAAGUGCGGGGAUCGAACAGGAUUAGAUACCCUGGUAGUCCGCACAGUAAACGAUGAAUACUUGUUUUCGGCGAUAUAAUGUCGGAGGCAAAGCGAAAGCGAUAAGUAUUCCACCUGGGGAGUACGCCGGCAACGGUGAAAUUCAAAGGAAUUGACGGGG